GACGAACGCUGGCGGCGUGCCUAAUACAUGCAAGUAGGACGCAGUGGCGAACGGGGGAGUAACACGUAGGUAACUGCGUAGUAGAGGGGGAUAACUCGUGGAAUAGAUAGCUAAUACCGCAUACUAAUAGAUGUAGCUUCGUUGUAUUAGCUAGUAGGUAGGGUAAUGGACUACCUAGGCGACGAUACAUAGCCGACCUGAGAGGGUGAUCGGCCACACUGGGACUGAGACACGGCCCAGACUCCUACGGGAGGCAGCAGUAGGGAAUCUUCGGCAAUGGGGGGAAGUCUGACCGAGCAACGCCGCGUGAGUGAAGAAGGUUUUCGGAUCGUAAAGCUCUGUUGUUAAGGAAGCGGUAACUAACCAGAAAGGGACGGCUAACUACGUGCCAGCAGCCGCGGUAAUUC
rnacentral:rRNA from 1 species